CCUACGGGUGGCAGCAGUGGGGAAUAUUGCACAAUGGGGGAAACCCUGAUGCAGCGACGCCGCGUGAGUGAGGAAGUAUUUCGGUAUGUAAAGCUCUAUCAGCAGGGACUAGAAAAGACGGUACCUGACAAAGAAGCCCCGGCUAACUACGUGCCAGCAGCCGCGGUAAUACGUAGGGGGCAAGCGUUAUCCGGAUUUACUGGGUGUAAAGGGAGCGUAGACGGAAAGGCAAGUCAGAAGUGAAAGGGCAGGGCUCAACCAUGUGAAUGCUUUUGAAACUGUGGAACUAGAGUACGGGAGAGGUAAGAGGAAUUCCUAGUGUAGCGGUGAAAUGCGUAGAUAUUAGGAGGAACACCAGUGGCGAAGGCGUCUUACUGGACUGUAACUGACGUUGAGGCUCGAAAGCGUGGGGAGCAAACAGGAUUAGAUACCCCAGUAGUC
rnacentral:rRNA from 1 species